AUGCCUUACACAUGCAAGUCGAACGGCAGCACGGGAGCAAUCCUGGUGGCGAGUGGCGAACGGGUGAGUAAUAUAUCGGAACGUGCCCAGUCGUGGGGGAUAACGUAAAGAAAUUUACGCUAAUACCGCAUACGAUCUAAGGAUGAAAGCGGGGGACCGUAAGGCCUCGCGCGAUUGGAGCGGCUGAUAUCAAAUUAGGUUGUUGGUGAGGUAAAAGCUCACCAAGCCGACAAUCUGUAGCUGGUUUGAGAGAACGACCAGCCACACUGGGACUGAGACACGGCCCAAACUCCUACGGGAGGCAGCAGUGGGGAAUUUUGGACAAUGGGCGAAAGCCUGAUCCAGCAAUGCCGCGUGCAGGAAGAAGGCCUUCGGGUUGUAAACUGCUUUUGUACGGAACGAAAAGGUCUGCCUUAAUACGGCGGGCCCAUGACGGUACCGUAAGAAUAAGCACCGGCUAACUACGUGCCAGCAGCCGCGGUAAUACGUAGGGUGCGAGCGUUAAUCGGAAUUACUGGGCGUAAAGCGUGCGCAGGCGGUGAUGUAAAACAGUUGUGAAAUCCCCGGGCUCAACCUGGGAAUUGCAUCUGUGACUGCAUCGCUAGAGUACGGUAGAGGGGGAUGGAAUUCCGCGUGUAGCAGUGAAAUGCGUAGAUAUGC
rnacentral:rRNA from 1 species